CAUUAAGUGCAGGAAAAGAAACCAAAUGGGAUUCCCAUAGUAACGGCGAGUGAAGUGGGAUGAGCUCAGCACCGAAGCCGGCGGUCGAGAGGCCGUCGUGCAAUGUGGUGUUCGGGAGGGCUCUGUCCGUGUCCGGCGUCGGUCCAAGUCUCCUGGAAAGGAGUUCCGUGGAGGGUGACAGGCCCGUGCGACCGAACGCCGCGCUCGCGGACGAGUCCUCCUUCGAGUCGGGUUGCUCGCUAAUGCAGCCCUAAGCAGGUGGUAAGCUCCAUCUAAAGCUAAAUAUAACCACGAGUCCGAUAGUCAACAAGUACAGUGAUGGAAAGUUGAAAAGUACUCUGAAGAGAGAGUCAAAUAGCCCGUGAAGCUGCCAAUAUGGGAUUAAGCGCACGUGUGACGCGUGUCGUCGGACAAAUAGGCGCUCGUCGGCUGUCGCGCGGCGCGCGUCGGCACCUCUUCGGUGUCGGCGCGCGUCGUAUACGGCGGUCGGCGGCACGCCUCCCUUUGUUCGGCAUCGACAGGUCGGGGCCUCGUUGUCCGGUCUUAUUGCCGGUCGUGAUCUUUAGAGCCGUGUCGGGCCGGCGCCGUUUUCGGACGUGUGCCGGUGCUCCGUGGAAUGUGCGCCCUGUGCGGCCACGGCCGGCCUGGUCUUUAGUGCAAUGCGGCCGAUUGGCGAACGACUGGGCGACGGCCAGCGCAAAUCGACUCGCAAGAGUCGGCUCGGCCUUUGCGUCGUCACGUGCGGCCCGUCUUGAAACACGGACCAAGGAGUCUAACAUGUGAGCGAGCGAUUGAGAUUGUCGAAUCUCAAACGCGCAAUGAAAGUGAAGUGUCGUCUGACGGCACGAGCGGAGAUCCGUCGUCACUCGUGGCGGCGGCGCACCCGCGGGCCACGCCAUCGGCUGGCUUGCUUUUCGGAGCACUGCUGAGGCGUGGACCUAGAGCCCACACGUUGGGACCCGAAAGAUGGUGAACUAUGCCUGGCCAGGAUGAAGCCAGAGGAAACUCUGGUGGAGGUCCGCCGCGAUUCUGACGUGCAAAUCGAUCGUCUGAGCUGGGUAUAGGGGCGAAAGACCAAUCGAACCAUCUAGUAGCUGGUUCCGCCCGAAGUUUCCCUCAGGAUAGCUGGCGCUCGUGUGAUACGGAGUUUCAUCCGGUAAAGCGAAUGAUCAGAGGAGCUGGGCUCCUUGCGAGCUCAACCUAUUCUCAAACUUUCAAUGGGUGAGACGUCUCGCUGGCUUCACUGCAGCGACGACUCUGAAUCCGAGUGCCCAGUGGGCCACUUUUGGUAAGCAGAACUGGCGAUGCGGGAUGAACCGCAUGUCGAGUUAAGGUGCCUAAGCGAACGCAAAUCAGAUACCAUGAAAGGUGUUGAUUGCUCACGACAGCAGGACGGUGGCCAUGGAAGUCGGCAUCCGCUAAGGAGUGUGUAACAACUCACCUGCCGAAGCAAUCAGCCCUGAAAAUGGAUGGCGCUAAAGCGUUCCACCGAUACUCGACCGUCGUCGGCAGGCGACGUGCAUGCCACGUCUCAAGCCACGACGAGUAGGGCGGCGCGGUGGUGAGCGUCGAAGGCGUAGCCGUGAGGCUAGCUGGAGCCGCCAUCGGUGCAGAUCUUGGUGGUAGUAGCAAAUACACAAGCAAGAUCCUUGUGGACCGAUGUGGAGAAGGGUUCCGCGCGAACAGUACUUGGACGUGGGUGAGUCGGCCCUAAGCCAACGGGUAAUUCCCGCAUCCCGUGUUGAACGUUUCUGAAUCGAAUAACAUGGGUUGAU
rnacentral:rRNA from 1 species